UACGGGGGGGGCAAGCGUUGUUCGGAAUUACUGGGCGUACAGGGUUCGUAGGUGGCCAACUAAGUCAGACGUGAAAUCCCUCAGCUCAACUGGGGAACUGCGUCUGAUACUGGUGUGGCUCGAGUGCAGGAGAGGAACGCGGAAUUCCAGGUGUAGCGGUGAAAUGCUUAGAUAUCGUCAAGAACACCGAUAGUGAAGACAGCUUACUGGGCUUAUAUUGACGCUGAGGCACGAAAGUGUGGGGAUCAAACAGG
rnacentral:rRNA from 1 species